rfam:Oryza nivara chromosome 10, whole genome shotgun sequence.
AAAAAGACAAACACUAUAUUUCCGUGCCAACAUUUGAUUGUCCAUAUUAUAUGAUUUUUUUAUAAUUAGUAUUUUCAUUGUUGUUAGAUGAUAAAACAUGAUUAAUAUUUUAUGUGUGACUUAUCUUUUUAAUUUUUUUUAUAAUUUUUUCAAAAAAGACGGACGGUCAAGCGUUGGACACGGAAACCAGGGUUUGUCUUUUU